rnacentral:rRNA from 1 species
UGAGGAACAUGACCUUCGGCGGGGGAUAGCCGGCCCAACGGCCGGGUAAUACCGCGUACGACCACAUGGGGACAUCCCUGAGUGGUGAAAGCAGCAAUGCGCCGAUGGAGGGCCUCGCGGCCUAUCAGCUAGUUGGUGAGGUAACGGCUCACCAAGGCAACGAUGCGUAGCCGACCUGAGAGGGUNAUCGGCCANAUUGGAACUGAGACACGGUCCAGACUCCGUAGGGAGG